UACGUAGGGUGCGAGCGUUAAUCGGAAUUACUGGGCGUAAAGCGUGCGCAGGCGGUUUGUAAGCCAGAUGUGAAAUCCCCGGGCUCAACCUGGGAAUGGCAUUUGGGACUGCAAGGCUGGAGUACGGCAGAGGAGACUGGAAUUCCGUGGUGUAGCAGUGAAAAUGCGUAGAUAUCAGGAGGAAUACCGAUGGCGAAGGCAGGUCUCUGGGCUGAUGACUGCGCUCAUGCACG
rnacentral:rRNA from 1 species